CCUACGGGUGGCUGCAGUAAGGAAUAUUGGACAAUGGCCGCAAGGCUGAUACAGCCAUGCCGCGUGCAGGAAGAAGGCCCUAUGGGUCGUAAACUGCUUUUGAACGGGAGAAAACCCUUGCUCGUGAGCGAGGCUGAUAGUACCGUUAGAAUAAGCAUCGGCUAACUUCGUGCCAGCAGCCGCGGUAAGACGAAGGAUGCCAGAGUUAUCGGGUUUAAUGGGGGCGAAGGGGGACUUGUAAGUCAGUGGAGAAAUCUGUGGGCUUAACCCACAAACUGCCAUUGAUACUGCAGGUCUAGAGUACAGUUGCCGUUGGCGGAAUAUGACAUGUAGUGGUGAAAUACUUAGAUAUGUCAUAGAACACCGAUUGCGAAGGCAGCUAACGAAGCUGUAACUGACGCUGAGGCUCGAAAGUGCGGGGAUCAAACAGGAUUAGAUACCCCAGUAGUC
rnacentral:rRNA from 1 species